GACAUUUCAAGCAAUCCUCCGUCGAUUCCGUGCGUCUGAAAUCAUACGACAUCCCUCUGGUCUCCCUCCCUAUAAAUAGCUUUCGCCUUCGUCUUUCUUCCCGGCGAAUUGUUUUUAUCAACGGGUGCAGAUCUUCAUUUGCGAAGGUUUGUAGACUGUUGGCAAGUCAUCUUCUGAAUUGUUUCUGAAAGUUGAAGUUUGCGAGAUGGGCAUGAAGCAGUGAUUAGCAUUUUGUUGCUUCGGAUCUAGACUUCUUUUAUAUUUUUCAUUUAUGCAGUUCCCGACCUUCCUCGAAAUGGAAAAUGUGCAAAAUAAGCAAGUUUGUGAGACAGAUGGUAGUUUUCCAAUGAAGCUAGUAGAUCAAGGAAAAGACUAUAGAAUAGACAAUGACAUCAUGACUCGUCGACUGAAGAAUCGAGAAAGGCAACGUAGAUAUAGAGCCCGAAAACGUCUAGAAGAAGAAAUAAAGAAGGCUUCAACUGUUAAACAACCCACUCAAACAGGAACAUAUUUUCAACCAAAUGGCAUUGCUAACAAUCCCUUGACUCGGGUGCAUUGUACCCGAAAUUGGAAGAAGGACGCGAGGAGCGUCCAUGUAUCUAGGGGGUUAGAAGCCUCUUGUAAUAGUUCUAAUAUGGCUGCAAGAACAUCAACCAGCGAGAGUCAGAUGCAGUGUUUACCCUCCAAUCCCGAACCACAGUUAGAAACGCAAUCACAUUUGGAGCCACCUGCUGAACAGCUUAUCUCUCAAACAGCGAAAAAGGUGCUUGGUCGAAGAAAUUGGAAAGCAGAUGCGAGAAAGAAGAAGAAUUGAAACGACGUGUUUUAGCAUUCUAAAAUUAUUGAUAACAUGAACGACAUUAUUGUUAUCAUUUGACCGCCGUAGCUGGGGAUGCCUGUGUGAUGUUAUUUCUGCAACAAACGUUCAACCGAUGGCAACGAAUGUUCCAUCAACGGCAAGAGGCCCUUUGAAGAAUUUUCACAUGAAGCUGAACAACUUUUGUAUGCAUAGAUUGGCGGAGAGAAACGAACUAGAAUUCUUCUGGUCGGGUUGUAUGCGGUCGGAUGCAUUUUCAAAUAUUUGAAUGAGUCGAUUCUUCUUCUCAAUACAGAAAUUAAAAAUUUUCAACUCCAAGCUAUACAAAUUCAGUUUUAAUAGAACUGUACGUUGAACAUUUCUAUCCUACAACCCUUCUAUUUAUUUAUUUAUUUUGAGUACAACAUGUGGGAGUGGAGAUCAAACUCGCAACCUUUUCGUUGGAGAUAUAUACCAAUUAUGCUGAGCUAUACUCGCUUUGGCUUCUCCAACACUUUUGUUGGGUUGUAUGUAUUUAUCCACUGCUAUAAGCUUU